GGAAGAAAAGAAGGAAGGAGACAGAGGAAGGGAAGGAGGGAGGAGGAAGGGAGGAAGAAAGGAAAAGGGAAAGAAGGAGGGAAAAAGCAAGGAAGAAAGGGAAGGAGGGAGUGAGGAAGAAAUGGUAGAAUGAAGAAGGAAGGAAGGAGAGAAGGAAGGAAGAGGGAGGGAGAGAGCAAGUAUUUGGGGUCUGGAUUGUUCCAGCAGACCCCGGUCAGCAGCGGCUGCCCCAAUCACUUCCCCCGUGUCCUGCCAGAAUGAGCGUGCCGUUAUUCUGCUGGGGGGCCGGGGGUGGGAAGGGCCGAGGGAGGGGAAGCUGCAGCUGAGCCGGUCUCGGCCUUUGUUUUUCUGGGGUGCCUCCUGGUAGAUUUGGGGGAUCAGUGGACGCCUCCCUGCUGGGCCCGGGCAUCCCUCCAGACCGUGGCUGCCCUGCUGGGACCGGCCCCCUCAUGACCCUCCGGAACGGUCUUUGGGAAGCACAAAGGCUCUGGUGUCCGUUUCCCCGCCUCCGUCUCUGACUUGCCCGUUUCUCGAGCCUCGUUUAGGAUCUGAACGUUCUGUCCUUGAGCGGCCUCCGUGCCCCGUGGCCGGCCCUCUGCCCCUCCUCUCUGCCCCCGCCUCCCCCUCGCGUGUGUGUCCAUCUGCCUGGCCCUUGCCCGCCCCGGAGAACCCGCUGACUCGGGAGGCCAGAUCCGCCCUCUCGGCGCAGGCCCGGGGCCUUGUGGGCCCGACCGGCCUGGGCGCCCUGGGCCUGACCCGCCACAGCCCCUCUUGCCCCACGGGGGGAGCGGGGCCUUUUCAGAGCGGCCUGGAGUUGAAAAGCCGAGACCGUGCCUGAUAAAGGCCCUGAGCAGGAGGGCUGCCAGGGCUCGGUGUUUGGGGCAUCGCAGCUGGCGUCUUCCUUCUCGUCCCCUUUUCUUCAGGGAGGAGGCCGGUCUGGGAAUUCUCUCAUCGGUGUCCGGCCCUAAGGGCGCCGUGCUGGGGCAGCGGGAAGUGGGGCUGGGGGGGAGGCUGCUGGGGGGGCGGCCCUGCCCUCCAGGUCACACGGCCACAGCAAAGAGUAGGGAUGGGGGGGGGCAGCUCCUUUGGGCUCCUCCUCCCCCGGCCAUUUAGUGCUAAAUGCUCCUCCCGGACCGGGCCAAAAGCCAACGGGAAAGAGCGUGUCUGUCAGCUCAGGAUUGCCAGCAGCAGCCCCCGGAGCGGCCCCAACCUAAGCAAAGCCUUAGGCUCCUCCAGGGAGCUCGGCCCUUGGAUUGAGCCGCGGCAGCGGUCGCUCACCCCGUGCUGGGGCCUGGUUCUGCCCAGCCUGGAACCCUGGGCAGAGAAGAAGCCUGGUUCUCCUGGGGGCACUAAGAGGGGAGGCUGUCUCCUUUCUCUCCUGGUGCUUUUAUCCAUGGAAACUAGAGGGAACAGAGGUUCCAGGCUGGGUCAUCUUGAGACGGGGGGAACCCUCAGGGCCCAGGGAGCAGCUGAGUACACUGAGGCCCAGAAAGGUGGCGCGCCUUCCUCACAGUCACAGCACAAAAGCCGGGCCUGAAUUUGACCCUGGGACGGGCAGUCCCGGACCCAGUGUCCCUUCCGGCAGGGCCUGCUUCAGGGCUGGUUUCUCCGUGGACUCUGUGAAGGUUUCCGUAGCACUGGGGCUCGGCCUGCCUUCUGUCGCUAUUGUUCUUCCUGUGUCCCCCUCCAGGCGCCCCCAAUAUGGAGAACCUGAGGUCCCUCUUCAGCCUCUGGGCGGGCCCUCAGUGAGACCUUCUCUCCGCCCGCUUCAUCCACCUGCUUUUCCUGGCCUGUCCCGGCCGCUGGGCGGCUCCUCCUGAGCCUGAGGCCGACGUGGGCAGCGGUUCCACUCGCGGUGACAAUUGUUUUGAAAAGUUUCCCUCCCCCACGGGUCUCCCCUGAGGAGGCCUGGGGCAGCUUGGCUCGGGGGCUCUCCCUCCAGGCCCAUUGGGCGCUGACCCUGUGCCUCGGGGCUCUGUGGGGGAUGCUGUGCCCGCUCCGGAGAACGUGCAGGGACUUUCUCUUCGGUAACAGUCACUGUCCUUCGCUGUCAUUUGGCCACAAAGACAAACGUUUGCUGAGUAAGCAAAGAGCAGAGAAGGAGCGACCCCGGCACUGACCGUCCCGCUUCCGUGUGAGAUCUGUGUGAAGCGUCCGUGUCCUUUCCUCUGUCCCACUCACGGCCUCGAGGACUGGUCAGAUAGGUCAGGGGUCAGGCUGUAGCCUUACAACAUUUCUCAUUGUUUCCUUCCGGCUGUGAUUCCUUCCUCUUUAUUCUUUCAGUUCAGUGGCGGAAUUGUCCUGUAUGUGUGUAUAGACGCAGAUCCGUGUAUGUGUACCUGUGCACGGGGAUGCACACACGCGGUUACAUGACGUGUCAAUCUCA